CUGCCAUGUCUGUUAGAGAAUGUAAUGCAGAUAUUGACGUGUGCUUCAUCGAAUACUCUGUGGGAGAUGUCUACUGAUUCCUGUUUGAGCCACAAAAAAUGGCAGCAUGCACACAACAAAACGAUUCCCACGCAUUUUUUGGCAAGAGAACCCCUCUGACAGUCUCCAGAGGGCUCGCUUCUUUUCCAGUCCGCGAGGAACUUGUCAGGAAAAGAUCUACAUUUCCCAGAGUGGA